rnacentral:lncRNA from 1 species
GAAUGAAUCCGUCUGCAAGCAAUUAUGCAGAGAUUAAAAAGGUUUUUGAUGUGGCUUUGCUUUGCACUUCUUCAUUGCCCAUUAAUAGGCCAUCCAUGAGAAGAGUUGUAGAAUUGUUGAAGGAUAACAAUGUUGCUCGUUCUAAGUCAAUCCGAUAGCUUUUCAUAGUUUUUAUGUCCUUAUCCAUGAGAAGAGUUGUUGAAUUGUUGAAGGAUAACAAUGUUGCUCGUUCUAAGUCAAUCCGAUAGCUUUUCAUAGUUUUUAUGUCCUUGCUUAAGUACUCUGAUACUACUGUGUAGACCUGUAGUAGAAUGCGUGAAGUUAGGUGUUUGUUGGUUAAAGUCUGCUUGUUGGGCUGUUAAAUGGAAUCUGGCAAGAUUUUUAGGUUGAUUUAUUUUUCUGCUCUGAUUUAACAAGUGCCCUGUAAGAUACUCUAGUAUACAUGGUAGCUUAACUAAAAGCUUGCUGACCUGUAAAGCUCAUGAGUAGCGAGUACUAUAGCUGUCUAACGGGUGGGUCGGACCGGUCCUGAUCCAAUAUUUUUUUAUCCGUCUGGGUUCCGGGCUGGGCCAGUUAGGCGUUGAAAUAGUAACGGGUUUAGCGGGCUGGGUUAAUCCGGGUAAUCCGUGUAUUUUUAAUUAUUUGUUUUUGGAAUUUUAUAUAACUAUUGUAUUUGUAAGUUAUAUUAAUACUUUGUAUUAAUUAAAAGAAUCUAAGUAAUAUGGG